rnacentral:piRNA from 1 species
AGUCAGUAUAAAUGCUAAAUCUUUUAUCUUU